rnacentral:lncRNA from 1 species
GAUUGGUUGUUGUGUACCAAACAAUGAACCUAUUUUCAGUGAGGACAAGGUUGCCUGUGCUGUUGAGUUUUAAUAUGUAGUUUGAAUUUAAAGUACUAUUGAUGGGAUUGUUUCUGUUUGCAACCCAAACAAAAUUUUGAACAGGUGUAUGGAAUGUUUUUGUACCAAAUACCAAGGUAAGUUUUGUUAGAGUUACCUGGAGUGAAGAAACCAAGUUCAUAUCUUCCAUUUUGGGACACCAAGGUAUUAUUAUUAUUGCUGAUGGAUUGU